UAUUUAACAAAAUCAUGGGUUAUAGAUGAUGGUGUAGUCUUGACUAUCAUGGUGAUACUUAUUGUAACAUUCUUCUGGUGUAAGUCCAAAGCACUUGUCGCUAUCAGGUGAUAUUGCAGAAUUAGAUUCUUGGCCGGUACUAGUGCUUGAAACAUGUGAGUUUUCAGUGCUUGCAACCAAAAGCAAAGCCAAGAUAAUGAAACUGAGACUCUUCGACAUGUUAUAAUUUCUAAACUUAAUUGUAAACAACUUAAUUAAAAU
rnacentral:lncRNA from 1 species